ACGACUCUCGGCAACGGAUAUCUCGGCUCACGCAUCGAUGAAGAACGUAGCAAAAUGCGAUACUUGGUGUGAAUUGCAGAAUCCCGUGAACCAUCGAGUUUUUGAACGCAAGUUGCGCCCGAAGCCUUCUGGUUGAGGGCACGUCUGCCUGGGCGUCACG
rnacentral:rRNA from 1 species